CCUACGGGAGGCAGCAGUGGGGAAUUUUGGACAAUGGGCGAAAGCCUGAUCCAGCCAUGCCGCGUGCGGGAAGAAGGCCUUCGGGUUGUAAACCGCUUUUGUCAGGGAAGAAACGGUCUGGGUUAAUACCCUGGGCUAAUGACGGUACCUGAAGAAUAAGCACCGGCUAACUACGUGCCAGCAGCCGCGGUAAUACGUAGGGUGCAAGCGUUAAUCGGAAUUACUGGGCGUAAAGCGUGCGCAGGCGGUCCUAUAAGACAGAUGUGAAAUCCCCGGGCUCAACCUGGGAACUGCAUUUGUGACUGUAGGGCUUGAGUACGGUAGAGGGGGAUGGAAUUCCGCGUGUAGCAGUGAAAUGCGUAGAUAUGCGGAGGAACACCGAUGGCGAAGGCAAUCCCCUGGACCUGUACUGACGCUCAUGCACGAAGCGUGGGGAGCAAACAGGAUUAGAUACCCUGGUAGUCCACGCCCUAAACGAUGUCAACUGGUUGUUGGAAACGGUUCCUUUUACAGUUAACGAAGCUAACGGCGUGAAGUUCGACCGCGUGGGGAGGUACGGCCGCGAGUAGUAACGUUAAAGUAGAGUAGACGCGNGAGAGUGCCGACGACGACGACGAGGGAGUAGG
rnacentral:rRNA from 1 species